rnacentral:rRNA from 1 species
UCGAGCGAGCGGUUUCGAUGAAGUUUUCGGAUGGAAUUGAAAUUGACUUAGCGGCGGACGGGUGAGUAACGCGUGGGUAACCUGCCUUACACUGGGGGAUAACAGUUAGAAAUGACUGCUAAUACCGCAUAAGCGCACAGGGCCGCAUGGUCUGGUGUGAAAAACUCCGGUGGUGUAAGAUGGACCCGCGUCUGAUUAGGUAGUUGGUGGGGUAACGGCCCACCAAGCCGACGAUCAGUAGCCGACCUGAGAGGGUGACCGGCCACAUUGGGACUGAGACACGGCCCAAACUCCUACGGGAGGCAGCAGUGGGGAAUAUUGGACAAUGGGCGAAAGCCUGAUCCAGCGACGCCGCGUGAGUGAAGAAGUAUUUCGGUAUGUAAAGCUCUAUCAGCAGGGAAGAAAAUGACGGUACCUGACUAAGAAGCCCCGGCUAACUACGUGCCAGCAGCCGCGGUAAUACGUAGGGGGCAAGCGUUAUCCGGAUUUACGGGGUGUAAAGGGAGCGUAGACGGUUAAGCAAGUCUGAAGUGAAAGCCCGGGGCUCAACCCCGGUACUGCUUUGGAAA